rnacentral:rRNA from 1 species
UACAGAGACUGCAAGCGUUAUUCGGAUUCACUGGGCGUAAAGGGUGCGCAGGCGGCCAAGUGUGUCAGGUGUGAAAUCCCGAGGCUUAACCUCGGAACUGCGCCUGAAACUACUUGGCUAGAGUACUGGAGAGGGUAACGGAAUUCACGGUGUAGCGGUGAAAUGUGUAGAGAUCGGGAGGAACACCGGUGGCGAAGGCGGGUCUCUGGGCAAUUCCUGACGCUGAGGCGCGAAAGCGUGGGGAGCAAACAGG